AUUAUAUUUUUAAAUUUGACUCAUAUAUUAAAUAAGAUUGACAGAAAACAGGGUAAAUUGCAUAGAACUUCUAUUUUUUUUAUAGAACAAUUUGCAGCCAAGCGUAUAUUAAAUAAAUAUUAAAGGAAUAUAUGAAGGUUCAACGACUAGUAGGUGAGUACUUUAUUUACAAUAAUCCUGCCACGAGCGCCCUGCAAUCAAUUUAUUGAUUGAAGACAUAGUCUGACCCCUCUUGAAAAAGAGGG
rnacentral:ncRNA from 1 species